UGGGGAAUAUUGCACAAUGGGCGGAAGCCUGAUGCAGCGACGCCGCGUGGGGGAUGAAGGCCUUCGGGUUGUAAACUCCUUUCGACAGGGACGAAGCUUAAGUGACGGUACCUGUAUAAGAAGCACCGGCUAACUACGUGCCAGCAGCCGCGGUAAUACGUAGGGUGCGAGCGUUGUCCGGAAUUACUGGGCGUAAAGAGCUCGUAGGUGGUUUGUCGCGUCGUCUGUGAAAUUCCGGGGCUUAACUCCGGGCGUGCAGGCGAUACGGGCUGACUUGAGUGCUGUAGGGGAGACUGGAAUUCCUGGUGUAGCGGUGAAAUGCGCAGAUAUCAGGAGGAACACCGAUGGCGAAGGCAGGUCUCUGGGCAGUAACUGACGCUGAGGAGCGAAAGCAUGGGUAGCGAACAGGAUUAGAUACCCUGGUAGUCCAUGCCGUAAACGGUGGGCGCUAGGUGUAGGGGGCUUCCACGUCUUCUGUGCCGUAGCUAACGCAUUAAGCGCCCCGCCUGGGGAGUACGGCCGCAAGGCUA
rnacentral:rRNA from 1 species